rnacentral:tRNA from 1 species
UUAGGGAGACCAGUAGUGGGUUGACCCGGUUCUAAAAAGAACAAAAGUCAGCCAGCUAAUAUCCCAGGUCGUGCGAGUAAAGAGAAGUCAAAACUUUCAAACUAUUAAAGGUUCGGUAAACGGGCUAUUAGCUCAGGUGGUUAGAGCGCACCCCUGAUAAGGGUGAGGUCCCUGGUUCGAGUCCAGGAUGGCCCACCUCUAAAAAGAGGGGAAAAGCAACCUCAAGCCGAAAGGGAAUAGAAGUAAUUGAGUACCCCUCCCAGCACCUCAACUCGCCUGAACAGGGCAGUAAGUCUGCUGGAGUUAAAUCCGGUACAGCACCUUGAAAACUGCAUAGCAAUAAGUCAAAAAAGCAGGUAAGGAAACUGAUGUCAUUUUAGGCAUCAGAAACUUUACAGAAGAAAAAACCAAUGU